UAUAGAGUCAGCUGUUAGAACUUCAC
rnacentral:piRNA from 1 species